GUAAAAUAUUACAAACAAAGCCCUCUUGAUGAGCAACACGUCUUCCAGCUACCCGUCAGACCAACCGCCGUGAAGGAUUUGUACCAGAGUGAGAAGCCACAGAAGUGGAGAGUGGAAAUAAAUAGUGGUCACAAGAAGGUGAAAACUGUGUGGCAGCUGAGUGACAGCCCUCCUGGGGACCAUCUGAACCCCUCCAAAGUCGAUUUUUCUGAGCUAACAUUCAAUGCCAGCCUGGAAGAAAAGACAUGCUUCACCACCAUAAUCACCUGCAGCCACGUGCAUUUCAAGUGAAGUGUGUGGACGGGGCUUGCUCAAGGAGGAGCAUCAGGAGAACUGCAGCGAGCAGGACACAGAGGGCGAAGACGGUCGGGACCACGAUCUCAGUCACCAUCCGCAUGGGGCCCCGCACAGCUUCUGAAAGGGAAGAAGGCCAGAGCAGAGUGUCACUGCAUUGCUUCAUCUGGCAAGCCUGACUGCCUGGGAAACUCAGAAGGCCACCCCUAAACUCUCCGCUUGGUCUUGUCUGCCAUGAAAGGACUUGUCUGCCUGGGGGAUUUAAUCUCACAAAAAGUUGUGUGAGGACUUUGUAAACAUUUCUGGAGAUAAUGGGAUAAAGGAUGCCUAAACAGUUCUUCCUUUGAUUCUGCACUAUAAAGUCUAAUGCAUGCAGAUUAGCAUUUGUGUUGAUUG